CACAUGCAAGUCGAACGGGGAUUUGUUUCGGCAGAAUCCUAGUGGCGAACGGGUGAGUAACGCGUAGGCAACCUGCCCCCCGGAUUGGGACAACACCCCGAAAGGGGUGCUAAUACCGGAUACGAAGACAGCAUCGCAUGGUGGUGUUUUGAAAGAUGGCCUCUAUUUAUAAGCUAUCGCCGGGGGAUGGGCCUGCGUCCGAUUAGCUGGUUGGUGGGGUAACGGCCCACCAAGGCGACGAUCGGUAGCCGGUCUGAGAGGAUGAACGGCCACAUUGGGACUGAGACACGGCCCAGACUCCUACGGGAGGCAGCAGUGGGGAAUCUUCCGCAAUGGGCGCAAGCCUGACGGAGCAACGCCCGCGUGGGUGAGGAAGUCCUUCGGGACGUAAAGCCCUGUUGUUUAUGACGAACGGUCCCUCUAUCAACAACGGAGGGGAAUGACGGUAAUAGACGAGGAAGCCACGGCUAACUACGUGCCAGCCGCCGC
rnacentral:rRNA from 1 species